rnacentral:lncRNA from 1 species
UACAACACAAACCAAGACCCAAUUUGCUUUCUUGCAAGUAUCUUCACCAGUUUUCUCUUCUUCGAGAUUUGGUGAUGGGCUUGUGGGAAAUUCGUCGACAUCAAAGGAUUUGCCCGAUGGAUCGGGUGAGACGACCCAGUUGUUCAAUUGGGUUGCUCAAACUCUAUAUCGGCAACGAAAGAUGCUAGCUUUAUUCUAUUUCCGAAUAAUUGCUUCAGAGUUCUUUAGUUGGGUCGCUAAUUGCCAUUUUGUAAUCUGAAUUUGGUAAUGAGUAUUGGAUAUUGGAUAAAAUUGAGCUGCUUAGAAGUUUUCUGGUGUAACUAGUUUGCUUUUUCUUGGUGUUUACGGUAGUUGAAAUUCCUCUUAAAUAGGGUAUAUUUGUUUCUGUAUAGUCGUUGUUUUCAGUUUUCCGGCAAGUGUUUUAUGCUUUUGGUUUUCUUAUAGUAAAACUAAUGUUAGGAUACAAAUGCCAAGUUCAUGGCAACAUGGAUUUUACAUUUGUAAUUUGUCCCCAAAAUGGUAAAUCAUCUCAACCAUUUUCGCAAAUUGUGUUUUAGUUGUUGCACUAAUUGUAGAAAUAAUUGUUAAUUUUGCCCUUUCGAUGAAAUGAAAGAUGACCCAUUUCGCGUUUAUGUUGAAAUAAUUGUUAAUUUUGUCAUUUUUGAUGGAAUUGAAGAUAGACCCAUUUGGGAUGUGUGUGUUGAAAUAAUGAUUAAUUGAGUUGUUUUUUAUGAAAUUGCGGAUAAU